UACGAAGGGAGCUAGCGUUGUUCGGAAUCACUGGGCGUAAAGCGCACGUAGGCGGAUGUGUCAGUCAGGGGUGAAAUCCCGGAGCUCAACUUCGGAACGGCCUUUGAUACAGCACGUCUUGAGUCCGGAAGAGGUGGGUGGAAUUCCUAGUGUAGAGGUGAAAUUCGUAGAUAUUAGGAAGAACACCGGUGGCGAAGGCGGCCCACUGGUCCGGUACUGACGCUGAGGUGCGAAAGCGUGGGGAGCAAACAGG
rnacentral:rRNA from 1 species